AUGCGAUUUAUCGGAUCUUUUGAAGUUUUAAGAACCCAAUGGUCAUAUCACUCCAGCUCGAAUGUCAACAAGACUCCAUGCUCCGGCAAACAGGAGGCACGCAUCUCUGCCGUCGCAGCUCUUAUCAACGCCCGCUUUGGAGGCAGUGUCUUUGAGCCUCAGCACAGAAACCAAGCACUCCCGCAUUCUAUCUUUAUGUAUGCACCUACGAGAGUCUUGUUGAUGGUUUUGACAAAGAUAUCCAGUGACAGUAACCAGUCUAGACACACUUGCCUUGGUGAUAUGAAUAUGAGAUCUCCGCAAUACAUUGCAAUUUAG
rnacentral:rRNA from 1 species